CUAAGGCUCCGGAGGAAGCCACGGCUAACUCUGUGCCAGCAGCCGCGGUAAUACAGAGGCGGCAAGCGUUGUUCGGAUUUACUGGGCGUAAAGGGCGCGUAGGCGGGAUGGUAGGUCUGUUGUGAAAGUCUACCGCUCAACGGAGCAAAGUCACCGGAAACCCCCAUUCUUGAGGCCGGGAGAGGUGAGUGGAAUUCCUGGUGGAGCGGUGAAAUGCGUUGAUAUCAGGAGGAACACCGGCGGCGAAGGCGACGCUCUGGCCUGUUUCUGACGCUAAGUGUGCGAAAGCCAGGGGAGCGAACGGGAUUAGAUACCCCGGUAGUCCUGGCCCUAAA
rnacentral:rRNA from 1 species